UUCUGACAUCCGGUCCCUUUUUAAGAUCCCUGAAGAAUACCAGCUUCGAGUACCUAUGCCCGAUGAGAAGAUGUUUUGGCGUCCCGAGGGCGAGUGGGUGGCCGUCCCCCUGUACGUUCUAAAGUACGGGGUUCGGUUCCCACUUCACGAUUUCAUUUCUUCUUUCUUGAGCUUCGUGGGAGUCGGGUUCGCGCAGCUCGUGCCGAACGCGUACAUCCAC
rnacentral:lncRNA from 1 species